rnacentral:rRNA from 1 species
AAUGAACGCUGGCGGCAGGCCUAACACAUGCAAGUCGAACGGAUCCUUCGGGAUUAGUGGCGGACGGGUGAGUAACGCGUGGGAACAUACCCAAAGGUACGGAAUGGCCUCGGGAAACUGGGAGUAAUACCGUAGGUGCUCGCACGAGGAAAGAUUUUUCGCCUGUGGGUUGGCCCGCGUUGGAUUAGGUAGUUGGGGGGGUAAUGGCCUACCAAGCCGACGAUACAUAGCUGGUUUGAGAGGAUGGUCAGCCACACUGGGACUGAGACACGGCGCAGACUCCUACGGGAGGCAGCAGUGGGGAAUCUUGGACAGUGGGGGAAACCAUGAACUAGCCAUGCCGCGUGAUCGAUGAAGGCCUUAGGGUUGUAAAGAUCUUUCAGGUGGGAAGAUAAUGACUGUACCACCAGAAGAAGCCCCGGCUAACUCCGUGCCAGCCGCCGCAGUAA